rnacentral:rRNA from 1 species
ACUACGGGAGGCAGCAGUGAGGAAUAUUGGUCAAUGGCCGGAAGGCUGAACCAGCCAUGCCGCGUGAAGGUCAGUGCCCUAUGGGCGUUAAACUUCUUUUGUUCGGGAGCAAUAAUGGUCACGUGUGGCCAGACGAGAGUACCGUACGAAUAAGCAUCGGCUAACUCCGUGCCAGCAGCCGCCGUAAUAUGCGGGAUGCAAGCCUUAUCCGGAUUUAAUGGGUUUAAAGGGUGCGUAUGCGGUGAGGUAAGUCAGCGGUGAAAUGCCCCCGCUCAACGGGGUGAAGUGCAAUUGAUACUGGCUUGCUGGAAUGCGGAUGCAGUGGGAGUAAUGUGUGGUGUAGCGGUGAAAUGCAUAGCUA